UGUACUUGAUUCAAAUGCGAUGUGGGGACGGAGAAGGUUAGGUUGGCAAGCUGUUGGAAUAGCUUGUUUAAGCCGGUAGGUGGAAGACUUAGGCAAAUCCGGGUCUUCUUAACACCGAGAAGUGAUGACGAGUGUCUACGGACAUGAAGUAACCGAUACCACGCUUCCAGGAAAAGCCACUAAGCUUCAGUUUGAAUCGAACCG
rnacentral:rRNA from 1 species